rnacentral:rRNA from 1 species
CGGACGGGUGAGUAAUGUCUGGGAAACUGCCUGAUGGAGGGGGAUAACUACUGGAAACGGUAGCUAAUACCGCAUAACGUCGCAAGACCAAAGAGGGGACCUUCGGGCCUCUUGCCAUCGGAUGUGCCCAGAUGGGAUCAGCUAGUAGGUGGGGUAACGGCUCACCUAGGCGACGAUCCCUAGCUGGUCUGAGAGGAUGACCAGCCACACUGGAACUGAGACACGGUCCAG